CACAGAAGCUGCAGAGCAACACAAAGGAUCCUGCGGGCUUGAACAAGGGGCUCGAACAAAAAGCAGUUACUCCACAGAAGACCAGAGGGGUCCUCCCAGCAUUGUGGCUCUAUGAGGAAACUGAGACCCAGAGAUGGAACUGGGAUUCAAAACAAUGUCUAGUGUGACUCCAGAGCCUUUCCUAACUCCUACUUAAAGCCUCUGAGGAAUGCUGAAAAGAGCACAGGACAUAGAAUCCAGAUUAAAAUGAUGAAAGUCAUCAACCUUAAAAGAAGCAAAAAAGAAGAGAAUUAGCUCCUCUGUGUAAUUUUUUUAAAUAUAGCAUCAAACCAUCUUCCCGUCAGCAACAGGCACUGCAGUAUUGAAGAUCAUCACAUGAGGGCAGAGGGCGUAAAAAAGGAUGGUGUGUUGAGACCAGAAGCAGCAGCAGUCCUCGACAUCAACUACAACUUUCCUUCGCACAGUGCAUACCCUCUGAUAUACUGAACCCAACGCCUAUCCUCCAGCCCCCUAAGAACUAGAGAGGGAGCCUCACAACAUUCCAAUUUAAUCCUUCAGAAAAUUCAUUACUCUUCAAAGUUGUCUGUGGUUUUGUGACAACGAUAUGACUAGGUGCAAAAUGGCUUGCAACUAAUUAACAAACAUAGAAGCAUCCAACAAACAUAUACGUGCACAAUCUGAGGAUUUAGGGAUGAAAUCAGUUAUCCAGGUUAGAUAUCAACAAAAGAGCAGUAAUUAUAAAGUUUCAUGAAGAAAGUGGCUGUUGAGGUGUGGAUUAUGUAAGUAAGACUGACAACAAGAAAUGAUUUUGUUAUAAUCCAGAAGUAAAACUAAAUAAAUGUUCUUUAAAUUGAUGGAUAAAUAAGAAAGAAUUUAUUUACAACAGUAAAUAAAUCCAAUACUUGUUAUAAAUAAGAUAAAGCUGGCUAUAAAUUCACAUUUUCAUGUGAGCGUUUUGAAGUAUGUGGACAUAAAAAACACACACCUCAAGCAUACUUCUCAAUGAUUUCUGAUAAAGAACACACCUUUGUAACCAGCACAUGGUGUAAAACCAGAAACAGAACAUUACCAGAUUCCUAAACAAGCCUUCUUUGUGCCCCUUUUUAGUCACUACCCUCCCCCAUUCAAGGUAACUUCUAUCUUGACUUCUAACACCACACUUUUAGUUUUGCCUAUUGUUAACUUGAUAUAAAUAGAAUGAUACUGUAUAUUUUGUGUGUGUUUGGCUUCUUCUGCUCCAACUUUUGUUGGUAAGGUUUAUACAGAUUAUUAAAUAUAGCUAUAGUUCAUUUAUUUCUAUUACUAUGCAGUAUACUUGGAUUCAGGAAUACACCAUAACUUAAUCAUCCAUUCUAUUGUUGACUGGUUUGGCAAUUUUCUAAACAUACGCAAAUUCUAUGAACCAGCAAUUCUAUCCCGUGUAUGUGUAUAUAUACACACAUGUUAAAUAUAUACACAGAAACAUGCUGUGAAAGUGCUUUGCAAAUGGCAAAAUGUAAAAUGUAAGGAAUGUUACCAAAGAGCUGAAACGCACUGUGUCUUUCUUGCAACACAGAUUCUUGGACAUAUCAGAUAAUAAAUGUAUUUUGUAUUGAAAAUAA